AGUCGUAACAAGGUUUCCGUAGGUGAACCUGCGGAAGGAUCAUUACCGAGUGAGGGCCCUCUGGGUCCAACCUCCCACCCGUGUUUAUUUUACCUUGUUGCUUCGGCGGGCCCGCCUUAACUGGCCGCCGGGGGGCUCACGCCCCCGGGCCCGCGCCCGCCGAAGACACCCUCGAACUCUGUCUGAAGAUUGUAGUCUGAGUGAAAAUAUAAAUUAUUUAAAACUUUCAACAACGGAUCUCUUGGUUCCGGCAUCGAUGAAGAACGCAGCGAAAUGCGAUACGUAAUGUGAAUUGCAAAUUCAGUGAAUCAUCGAGUCUUUGAACGCACAUUGCGCCCCCUGGUAUUCCGGGGGGCAUGCCUGUCCGAGCGUCAUUGCUGCCCUCAAGCCCGGCUUGUGUGUUGGGCCCCGUCCUCCGAUCCCGGGGGACGGGCCCGAAAGGCAGCGGCGGCACCGCGUCCGGUCCUCGAGCGUAUGGGGCUUUGUCACCCGCUCUGUAGGCCCGGCCGGCGCUUGCCGAUCAACCCAAAUUUUUAUCCAGGUUGACCUCGGAUCAGGUAGGGAUACCCGCUGAACUUAAGCAUAUCAAUAA
rnacentral:misc_RNA from 1 species